GAGGAGGGAGGGAGUCCAAGAGAGGGUGGGGAGCCGGUAACCUGGUUCGGGUCUGACCUCAGCGAAGGGGAGGGAAGGAAGGAAGCUGGAUGAAACACCAUGGCCUGCACUGCAUCUCUAAGGGGAGCUGGGCAGGGCUGACAGGAGCCUUAGAGCCACAGUGGCCUGUCAGAGAAUCCCACAUCUCCAGGAGGGGACCUGUUUCAUAGCACUGACAGAUUCAGUCACUGCUGGGAGCAGCCCUGGGGGAGCAUGGCCUCAUAGGAACGCAAGGAGAUUUGACAGCACAGAGCCGGGUCCAGGUCAGUUACAUUCCCUGCAGUCACAGAUAGGAUACGGGAAACGCAUUCUCAUAGCCCCCACACUUUGUAAAAAUCAUCUUCAGUGCACCUAACAUCCUGUCUUAAAGCUAUUCCAUGUUACAUGUAAUUCUUCUGAGUAAGCCAGAAACUCCGAAUCUUCCUUCAUGACGUUCUCUCUCCCUUACCUUCACAGCCAAACCAUCACCAAGCCAAAAGAAUUUUGUCUCUUCCAUCCCUCUUAGCUCUGACGUUUUAUAUUCAUCUUUAGUAGGGAGAAUCUGAUAACAACCAAUCCCCAAGUCAUAUCUUGCCUUUUUAGAUCACCCAUGUCACCCUCCAGUGGCUAUUUUAUCAUACUGACAGAGUAAUUGAGGACAGAAGGCACCGUAUUUAUCCCUACCCUUUUCAUCCACUUUUGGCUUUUCAUAGCCUUUUAGCUGGUGUGAAAUAAUCUCUGCAUUGCCUAUAGUGCCUUAAUUCACAUCAUGCUCCCUAUUGUUCUCUGUUCUCUGCACACUGUCCACUGUGUCUCCCACACUGACGACUGUGCUCCCCACACUGACAAUCAUGCUCCCUACACUGACCGCUGUACUCCCCACACUGACCACUGUUCUCCCACACUGACUGCUGUACUCCCCACACUGACCACUGUUCUCCCACACUGACCAUUGUGCUCCCCACACUGACCGCUGUGCUCCCCACACUGUCCGAUGUGCUCCCCACACUGACGAAUGUGCUCCCCACAGUGACAAAUGUGCUCCUCACACUAACUAUAGUUCUCCCCACACUGACUGCUAUGCUCCCCUGGUGACUGCUGUGCUCCCCACACUAACCAAAGUGCUCCCCACACUGUGGUGCUCCCCACAGACUGCCACACUCCCUAUAUUGUCCACCGUGCUCCCCACACUGUCCAAAGUGCUCCCCACACUGACCCCAGGGCGUCACCCACUGAGCACCUUACGGGUCCAUCCGUAUCCUCCUACCUCAGCCAUACUUUCACAUGCUUCCUUCUUCCUAGAAUGGCCCUUCUUGCUCUCUUCAUCAAAGUCAUUUACACACAGCUUUAAGGUCACAGCUUGGGAGAACCUUAUUCUGGGAACCCUCCUUGACACUGUUGAAGUCAAAUUCCCUGCUUGUGGCCUCUUGCAGGCCACAUUUCUCGUCUUAUAGUGUUUACUGUAACUUCAGUUUCCCCUUUUUGGGGAUUUUUAUGUUACUAUACUUUGUAAUAUUCUGCGAUGCCCAUGAUACUCUGCUAUGAGGACAGUGCCUCCUGUUUAAUUUUGCUCAGCAACAACGUCGAGUAUGUGCAUUGUUGAGUGGAUGAGGGGCCUCAGUAUAAAGAUAUAAGCUGAGAUACAGGUAUGUGAACAGUUACAGCUGGAGGUGGAGAAUGGACGUGGUCCCCAAGGUAAAAAGGGCAGGGAGGAAACGUCACCCGAGGUGAACACCUGUGCCCUGCGUUCACUUAGGGAAGAUAGAGCGCAUUUGAAGGCACAGAGCUGCCAACAUGAGCAUGCAUUGCCAGAGUCACAAGCGGUUCUGAGUAACUUGAGCAAGGAGCUACUGGGGGCGGGGCUCAGGAGGAGGACAGAAAUAGAAAGAAACCAGACCAUGAAGUAUUUUAUAUCCACGUUGAGUGAUUUGGACUUGAGACCUGAACGGUUUUAAGGAGGAAGAGGCCUGAGCGGAUUUGCCUUUUGGAAAGAUCAUUCUGUCAGGGAUCGGGAGGAGAAAUUGGAGGGGCAGACCAGAGCCAAGAAGCCCCUAGGCUGCUCCUUAGUGACCCCGCUUUAGGAGGGGCACAGAAUCAGGAAAGGAAAAGAGAACGUCCAUCUGACUAGCUGGCCCGAAGAACACAGCCUCUGACCAGUGAACCACGGUGGGCACGGACGGACGACAGACUCGUGUUCAAAAUAUCACAUGGGGUCUGUACACUCCUCCUAGAUGAACAGAUGAAGUCGGAUUCAGAAAUCUACAAUGAUAGGCUUAUUAUAAGCAUUUUGCUUUGUGACAAGAUAUCAAGUAAAGCUUUAUCAAACUACUUAGAAUUCUUUCCAGCUUUGAAAUUAAGGUAGCAGCCACCUUUAUUCUUUCAAAGACUUCCCUAAGCCAGUUUUUAUGAAGAAGAGGGAAAUUUUGAAACACCUUAUUUCCAUUCUUUGUGAUUUUACUUAGGAUUCAUGGAUGGUAGCUCUGUUGCCUUAGUGUAAUUUAAGGCUUAUUUCAUGUGAAAUCAGCUGGAUAAUAAUCACUUACUGAGCGAUCUGAAUGAACACCAUGUGCCAGGCACUGGCCUAGAUGUCAGAAAUGCAGAUACUUCAUAGGAAAUUGUCUUUGCCUUCUAUAUUUCAGUGACUUGGGGAAAAGGAUGCAUAUGUGAGGUCGGUGUAUACAAAAACAGGUUCAGAACAGAACUUGAGAUAUCCAAGUGCUAUGUUGGUCAGGCUGGUCUUGAACUGCUGACCUCAGGCGAUCCACCCGCCUAGGCCUCCCAAAGGUAGUCUCAGGUACUCAGGAGGCUGACGCAGGAGAAUUGCUUGUACCUGGGAGGCAGAGGUUGCGGUGAGCCAAGAUUGCACCUUUGCACUCCAGCCUGAGCAACAAGCGAGACUCCACCUAAAAAAAAAAAAAAAAAAAAAAAAAAAAAAUCCAAAGUCUAUGGAAGCAUAAAGGAGAGAAAAACUUGAGGGGAAAGUGAGGAUUUGGAACAGAGAUGUUGGCAACUGAGUUGAUGCCAAAUGGAAACUAAAGGUUUGCAGAGAGCUACAAGAGAAGAGUUGGGGGCAGAGGAAGCAGGGUUCCAGGCAAGAGAAACUGUUGACAGCAAUACCAAAAUACCAAGGAAGCUGACAGUAUUGGAGAACGUGUAAGCAAUUUAGUAUACGGGUGUGUGAACAGAGCGAAAGGAUGCUUAAAAACAGAAGAGGACCCUUUAAGACAGUCGUGAAGCCUAAUUUAAUACACACAUGUAAAGGAGUGGGGAACAUCACACAAGCAGACAAGUCCAUGUGCAACAAGACAAGCAUGGAGACAGGAGAGAGAAAAGAACAGGAAAGGUGAAAGCAUCCGAGCUUCUGAGCUGUAGUCAGCGCGCUGUUUCCUCUACUCAGGUGAGGAAUGCAUGCCCCAUUCCCAGUGCCUGCUGCUGAGAAAGUCCCCUGCGGCACAGUGCAUAGGCCGACCCCUGGCAGGGCACCCGGUUGCCAAAUGGUGCACCCCCAGGGGAAGGCUGCAGAGCCCUAAUUGAUGACCAGCUGAUACAGGUGGUCUGCUCAGGCUUUUUUGCUUGUCUGAGAUUGGAGAACUUUAUAACAUAAUAGUUCCGGUCUGUAUCAAUGUUGAGGCUUACUCUUCUUCAGUCGCUCUACCUACUUACUUUUAUUAUCUUUCUAAAAGUACAGAGAUUAUUAAAAACUACAAUUUAGUAUUUGCGGUUAUUAAAACUAUAGUGGCAAAUUAGACUAUAACUUGUCAGUUUUAGAUUUUAGAAAUACCUAAAUAUUAAGACAGAUUUAAAAUAGCUCAAAGAGAAAAGGCAUGCCAUUUACCAUUUGACAGUAAAUAGUAGCUAAUUAAUAUUCUCACAUUUUAAUGCGGAUUCUGACAACUUGACUAGUCAUGAGUUUAUAUGUUGUUUCUUAGAACUUCAUUAAUAGAAAAUUUGUAAGUAGCCUAUUUCUAUCAUGACUAUUCCCAAAAUGCUGUUUUCUAAGGUCAUGCUCAGUGCUAAGAAUCCAUAAAUGUGCGUGUGAAUAGAACCACAAAGCAGCAGCAGGAAAACCUGGGGGAAAUGUUUGCUGAUUGCAACUUUCAAUGACUUUAUCUGGGAAUUUUACAGAUAAUAUCUUUAAUCACGUGCAUGGUUUGUGAUCUGCUAAUCUCAUGUGUGCAAGUAAAACCAAAGUUCAUUGGAUCAGUAUUAAACAACCUCUUUGCAUUCAUAAAAUAUGUGUAGCUUUGUACUGAGUCUUGUUGACUUUCCUUUCUAAUGCAAUAGAGUAGGCAGGCAUAGAUUUAACCUAUGAUAUAGUGAAAUAUAUAAUUGGUCUUCAGCCCAUUUCCUGGCAUACAGCUCCUAAAAUCCUUAGAAUCUCCAAAAUGAUGUCCUUUUGUAUGCAAAUGAAUUGACAGAUGGCAGUGGUAGCUUUAGAAAGGAGCCGGUCACCAGGAAGACCAAGGCAUGACUAGAGUGUGGUUGGAACUUUUAGCCUGACCCUGACCUCUAGGGAGGGGAGGAGAGGGGCUGAAGGUUAAGUGGAUGGCCAAUGGCCAAUGGUUUCAUCAAUCGUGACUAUGAAAUGAAGCCUUCAUAAACUCCCAAAAGGAUGGGGCCCAGGGAACUUCGGGAUAGCGCCACCUGUGUAGGUUCCUGGAGGGUGGAUCCCCUGGAGAGGGCAGGAAAGCUCCACACUGUUACUCCCAUACUUUGCCCUAUGCAUCUCUGCAUCUUUACUUUGUGUAAUAUCCUUGAUAAUAAACCGGUAAACAUAAGUGUUUCCCUGAGUGCUGUCAGCUACUCUAGCAAAUUAAUCGCACUAAAGAGGGAAUUGAGGGAACCCCAACUUGAAGCUGGCUGCUCAGAAAUUCCAGAGGCUGAGAUUUGCAAGUGGUAUCUGGGGGAGGGAGGAGACAGCCGCCAGCCUGAGGGACCGGACGCCAUCUCCAGGUGGACAGUGUCAGGACUGAAUCUGAGGACACCCAGCUGGUAUCUGCUGCAGAAUUGAUUGCUUGCCUGUUAGUGGGGAAAUCCCCCCACACAUUUGGCCACAGCAUCUUCUGUGUUGACUGUGGUGCUGGUGGUGGUGGUGGUGUGAGAGCAGAAGAAAAUCCUUUCAAUUUUUCCCAACAAGGACGCAAUCUGACGGAGCCCCACCUGCCGCCAGCCUCCUGCUGAACCCGUGUCCUGCUGCUGCUGCUGGUAGAUUGCGGUUCACAGGGAGGUCUACUUGGUAAACAAACGCCCACCUCUCUCUCCUGGCUCUCCUGUCCCCUUGCCCCCUGUCUGCGCCCUGGCCAUAGCUUCCCCAGCUCGGCUCCUGCUGUCUCUUUCCCCACAAUGAGGUCUCCUUCAUUCCCACACACGUUCCCUUCUCUAGAGGAGUGACAUUCAAAAUCAUUCAUUCACAUGUACCCGAAAAGAAUUCUGAAACAUGGUGUCGUCUCUUAGGGAAUCUUUAUUUUGGUGUCUAAAAAGUCAUGUUUAUUAUAGAUGCAAGCAGUGUAAUUUCUAGUGAAAUAGAAAUACUGACAUUUAAAAAUAAAACUAUUUUUCCACUCUGUUAAUUGUAUCCAGCCAGUUCUUACUACCACAGGGAUCUGAUUCCCACCAUCAGUCAUUUUGUAAAAUACAUGAAUUUGCUUUUUUUAAUUGACAGAAUUUUAUGUUGUUCCUCUUUCCCCCCUUGAAACUGUAUUUUCAUUUCACUCUCCUCUCAGAAUGUUUUCUAAUGUAAUUUUUUAUUCUGAUUAUUCUAUAAUAUGUAAAUUAAUUUAAACAUUAAAAAUUUUCCCAUAACUGUAAGUUUUUAAGAAUUUAAAUAUAUUUAAAAUGUAUGUUUAUACAUAGACACCACAUUGAAAUGGUGUCUAUCUACCUACCUAUCUUAUGUAAAAGAGUGAAAAAUAUAUGAAAGAAAGAAAGAAAAGGAAGAAAGAAAGAAAAAGAAAGAAGAAAAUAAAAGGAAGAAAGAAAGAAAGAAAGAAUAGAUGGAAAGCUCCAUCCUGCAUAAAUGUUGUCAUUAGAAACGUCACUAAUGCAUAAUUUUCAGAACACCUGUUGUUAACCAGCAGGCUUGUCCACUAAUAAACCUGGACGGUGACUCUGGAACCCAGGGCUUGACCCUUCUCCCUCUCAGAGGGGCUACAAUUAAAUCUAGUUUUCUGUGAUCAGCUUCCCUAGACCUGGUGACUGACUGUGCUUGACUAGAGUAGGGUGGGGUUUAAAUAUUCCUAUGUGCCCAGGGUCCCUAAUUCUGGGUGUCUGUCUUUCUCAGACAACUCCUAGAAGGAGCUGGCACCAGCACUCCCAACCCCUGGGGCCAGGGUGCCGCCCACUGUAGCAGGACCCUCAGCGCAGGUGGAGAGACUGAGACACGCUUCUGCAGGGUGGGGAGCCCCACACUGGCUCCUUUUCCUGCAAGUCUCCCUGCCCAGCCUUCUCCUGCGGGACUGUGGAAUUUGUCCUGAACCCUGGCAGGUAGAGAGAACAAAGGGAUUUAUUUACCUUGCAUAAAAAACAAUAGAUAUAUUACAAAUUCUGAUAGGUGAUUUUUAAGCAUAAAAGUAACAUUUUAUGCGAAAUUCAUCUCUUAAUGAGAUAGUCCAGGCUUUCAUUUUCAAUUAGUCCAUGCAUGUGGACGAAUACUAAUUUAUUGAGAGAUAAAAUGAGGUCCAGCAUUAAUGUGGAGCCUAUGUUUUAUUUUAUAGAAGUCAGCACAAGAAAGCUGUUACAAUGAAGCAGAUGUGAGUGAAAGGAAUUUUAACAAUGCGACUCAAUUCUUUGAACUUAUCCUGAGAUUUAUAUGCCAACAAUCACAUAGCUAUUCACUAAUCAAUAAUUCUUUUUAGUGAUCUCACCACUGAUAAACUGUUGGGUCUGCCUUCAAUUUUCUUGAAAGCCAAAAACUAAAAACUGCCUGACUUACAACAGGAUUUGCUGCCCAGCCGUCAAAGCCAUUCCUCUUCUCAACACUGUCACCAACAUGAUUUCAAAGGGAGCCUGUGGCCUGGUGCCCUGGGGCCUUGAAACCAGAGACAGUGAACUGUCAGGUUUGGGAUGGAUGAGAUUUCCUUCUUUUGUAAAGUGGCAGAACUAUUGUGAAAGGAGAGGAGAGAAAAGAGAACACCAGGGGCUUUCCUGAGCAGAUCAAUUUCAGAAAAGAGUAGGCUGAAAUUUCACAUCUGGAAAUGGAACCCCUUAAAAUCAUCUAAAAUCUGCAUUUGAGUGCUCCUUGGAAAGCCUUUGUCUGCCAGAGCUCUGUGUACCCAGUAUGAAAAUCUCUGCUCCAGAGCAGCUUGAUCUCCUUGGAGAUGAGGCAGAAAAUUCUGUGUCUUUUGCUUUUCCUCCAAUAUCCGGUUGGAUGACUGACUUACCAUACAGUUUUGCUUUCUUGAUAUCCCACCCUUAUAUUUUACUAUAAGCCUUGAAUCAUCCUUUCUCAUUUUUUUUAUUCACAGAACUGUGGCGUUCUCAGACCUUGUGCCCAAUCUUCUUGUUUUUAUCACAGCCUUAGUAAGACCGAAAGAAAUAUGCACGUAAAGCUACACUACCAGGGCCGGGCGCGGUGGCUCACGCCUGUAAUCCCAGCACUUUGGGAGGCCGAGGCGGGUGGAUCACGAGGUCAAGAGAUCGAGACCAUCCCGGUCAACAUGGUGAAACCCCGUCUCUACUAAAAAUACAAAAAAUUAGCUGGGCGUGGUGGCGCGUGCCUGUAAUCCCAGCUACUCGGGAGGCUGAGGCAGGAGAAUUGCCUGAACCCAGGAGGCGGAGGUUGCCGUGAGCCGAGAUCGCGCCAUUGCACUCCAGCCUGGGUAACAAGAGCGAAACUCCGUCUCAAAAAAAACCAAAAAAACAAAAAAGGCUAUACUACCAGAUAACGUAGGAACAGAAAACCAAAUACCCCAUGUUCUCACUUAUAAGUGUGAGCUAAAUGAUAAGAACAUAUAAACACAAAGGCGAAAACAGCGCACACUGAACUUAGUAUCUGGGUGAUGUAACAGUAUGUACAACGAAUGCCUGUGACAUGUGUUUAUCUAUGUAACAGACCUUCACAGCUACCCCCAAACCUAAAAUAAAAAAUUUUUAAAAGUUACACUACCAGUUAUGAAACCUUGGGCAAAAUACUUAACCUCUUUCUAAGUCUUGGUUUCCUCGUCUGUAUCUAUGUGUCUACCUCCUAGGGUUGUUUUUUAUUAUGAAGAGUAAAUAAGACCAUACAUUCUUGAACUUAGAAGAUUUUGGUCCAUGCUAGGUAUAAAUAUUAACUAUUAUUAUUAGUAUCACUAGUAUCAUUUACAUUUAAAAACUCUAACCUAUUUUAUGGUCGACAGUUGAAAGAAAUAUAUUCCUAAUGUAUGUCUAUAAAUUUAUCUCCCACCUAUUUUGACUUAAACUACAGUUUUUGUUUUGUAUUUGCCUUAGAUAUUUAGUUCUCACGAACUUGCCAAUUCUGGUGGAAGGAGGUCAUUUUCUUUCUGUUUUUUUUUAAUUGAAUGGUUUUGUUGUAUUCAUCUUUAUUUUCUUAACUGUGUAUGGUAUCCUGUGCAUAGCAAGCAUUCAAUAAUGUUUGUGUGAUUGAAUUUGGUCAAAGCACACAUUUCUUAUUUGCGGAAUUCCAUGGGUAGCUAAUGAUCUAUUAAGCUGGGAACAGAGACUUCUACCUGCACAGUUCCACAAAAGAAAAUCGCGUGUGUGUUUGUUUAACCAGUAGAAUUGAAAGAUGUUUUGACUUUGCCCCAGGAGUUACAGUUGCAUGUGACCGCCAGAUAAAUGCUGUCUGAAACAAUUUUGUUCAUUUACAAUAAGAACGCAGUAAAUGAUCAUGUUAAAAUUGUUUGUGAUUUAUGACACCGAUGAAAUUUUUAGGAAAAGUAGCCUCUGUCAGCCCUUCACCCCUUCAGUUUAAUGACUAAUCUUACAGAGGCUCUUCUUUUUGCAUAUCAAAGAGAUGUAAGUAUUGUAAAUUUAUCUUAAAUUAUAUGUUAUUAUCUGAUGAAGAAAUUAUCAUAGGCAUGUGUCUUAAACUGUUAUUCUAAGAAAAAAAUGGAGAAAGACGAAAUACAGGGUGAGGGACUUAAAAAUAUUGAAAUGGCUUUAAAAAUAAAAUAAUCCCAAAGUAUGGUACAAAACAAUAGAGAGACCAGAGAAGCAAAGAGCCAAGAAGCAGCUCUCCUGUCAAUUUGAAUGUAACUUAUGACAAGGGGGCUGGGAAGAGACACCUGCAGUCACCCCGGCGGGUGGCAUUUGUGCCCACCUCAACUUCCCAGCGCCCCAACUCCCUGCUUCUGGGAAGUUUAGUCGUGUUUCCUCCACUGGAGAUGCCUCCAUAGGACUCAGCAGUUCCUGGAGCACAGUGAACACUCCGGGGCAGACAGGUGAUUUAACUGGCCUUCUCUGGGCAUCAAUGAACAGAUGUGGCUAGUCACUCACGGCCCCCUUCUCACGGAGCCCAGGCUCAAGUUCUGCCUCUCAUCUCUCAGGCAGUGCCUGAGGCCAUCUCCACCCAUGCCUUCCUUAAUGAGGAGGGCCACUGAUCCUCGUUCAGGUCCAAAACUGUGAGUUUUGAUUUUGUUGCUGUUAUUGUUGCUAUUUUUAGAGACUUGGUCUGGCUCUGUCACCCAGGCUGGAGUGUAGGGUGCGAUUUUAACUCACUGCAGCCUUGGACGUCUACAAUCAAAAGAGAUCCUCCCACCUCAGCCUCCCAAGUAGCUGGGACUACAGUUGACUGCCACCACACCGGCUAAUUUUUAAGAAUUCUUUUUGUAGAGAUAGGGUCUUACUAUAUUGCCCAGUCUGGUCUUGAACUCUGGCCUCAAGUAAUGUUCCCACUUCAGCCUCCCAAGGUGAUGGGAUUACAGGCGUGAGCCACCACACCUGGCCUAAAACGGCAAUGGGCAUAUGGCAGUUGAAGUGCUGAAUUGUAUUGCUCCCGGGUACAUUAACAGUGAUACAUUCAGCUGGCUGCGUGGCCUUGGGAGAGUCAUUUCAACAUGAUGAAGGUCUGAGCCCAGGAGAUGAUCAGAGAAUUACCCCGAGUCUCCUGCAGCCCUGGAGCAUCUUCUGGUAGCAAAAUAAACAAGUAUCUUAUUCGGUGAGCAGCACAUCUCUAAGAAAAUAAUCUCUCUACACAAAUGGUAAAGGCUUUGAAGGAGUGCCAGCUCCUCAGCCAGUGCAGCACCACACUUUUAAUACAUUAUGUGAUUAGUUUAAAUGAGUAGUUGAUUUUGCUUCAUAAGUCAAAUGUCAAUUCUUUUCAUUAACUCGAAUCAUCUUUCACAUUUUGAUGCAGGACACAGCCUUUUGAUUAAUUCUUUACAUCUGACAUUUAGCCAUAGUUUUGCUAGAAGGGUUGAGUUUUCUACCAAAGACGCAGCAACUACUCUGAACGUUUAUUUUCCUCUGAAUUUUGUUUUUCCCAUUUUUGGCUGAGAAGUCAUCUGGAGUGACUCCAGCGUGUUUACCUAGGUUUUUCCUGAAGAGGUGAGGUGAUUAGACAGUAACAGAAGGAAAAGUCGAGUUGCCAGUAGGUGGCUCACUAUGAAUGUACUUGGGAUGGGAUCAGACGUGUCACCCCUCCUCCACUAAGCCUUUGUUUUCAAUCCCUGCUGCUUUGAGCCUUUUUCUAUAAUGUCUGAGUCAUUUGCAGGGGGGGUGGGCAAAGAGGGGGGGAAAGAAGAAAGAAAGCAAGCAACAGCCUUUGAGCUCCAGAAUAGCAAAGGCCCCCAUCUUGCUCUGAGAGUUCACAGAAUAUAGCCCAGUCCGAGUUCUCUUUUCCACACACAGUUGCUUGUUCUUUUGUUCCUUGUGUCCUUGGCAAAGACUGAAAGAACUAAGCCUGUAAUACUUGGGCCCUCCUGUGUCACUUAAGAAAUAAUAAGCCAUUGUCCUCAUUAAGCCACCCUUGUUUUAGCAAAUAGAGUCCAGAUACUGGAGAGGGAACAUUUUGAAGGGAGGCAGAAUUAGGGUAGAGAUGCUUUACAAAAUUCCCUAGAGAAACUGCUUUGUUUCUCCUAUUUUAUUGCUCCUUACUGAGAAGAUUCAUAUUCAAAUGGGUUGGGGUUGUGAAUAGUGGCUUGCACAUUCUCAUGCACCCAGGAAGGCUAUGAUUAUGGCUAAUUACAAUGAAGAAUGAAACCCUAACAAGAGUGUUCCAUCAGAUUGUCAUUCGUGCAUGAAGUAACUCAGGCUGGCCAAUGGAGGUGUGAUUUUGGUAAUUACAAACAAUGUGGCUAUUUGAAAAAUGCUUAGUAAAUCUGUUCAAGACAAAAUAAGGUCUAAUUAAUCACUUUAGCUCUGAAUUCUCCAGAUGAUUCGUUUGCUCUGUUUUUUUUUUUUAAUGUAAGUUCUCUUUAAUAAACUAGAUCUAAGAUAUAAAAUAAGUUCUGGUUGCCCACACUCAAAUGCAACUGUGUUACCUGCUUCAAAGUCUUCUUAGUUCUGCCAAUCAUGUUGUAACCUGCUUUUAAUUCAACUUGACAGAAGCCUUUUAAAAAUAAAUGUGUGUACAUUCUUGUUGUUACCUGACAUGAAAAUGUUUUAUGAAAAGUUACCGUAAAACAUUAACUGUUAAUUUAGUAACCAUAUUGGUACCCUCCUUGUGCUGACAUCUAUUGACUCUUGAAUAUUUGGUGAAUGUUGUGUUUAGUCUUUGAAUAAUGUGUAACUAUAUGAAUUAGUCUGUUUUCACACUGCUAUACAGAACUACCAGAGACUGUAUAAUUUAUAAACAAAAGAGAUUUAAUUUACUCACAGUUCCACAUGGCUGGGGAGGCCUCAGGAACCUUACAAUCAUAGGUAAAGAGGAAGCAAGGCACAUGUUCCAUGGCGGCAGGAGAGUGACAGAGAAGGUGGAAGUGCCACACUUUUAAACCAUCAGAUCUCAUGAGAACUCACUCACUAUUAUGAGAACAGCAUGGGGGAACCACCCCUAUGAUUCAGUCACCUCCCACCAGGUCCUCCUUUGGAUAUUACAAUUCAAGAUGAGAUUUGAGUGGGGACACAAAGCCAAACCAUAUCACUAUAUUAUAGGGGAGAAAAAGCAAUCUGUUUUCCUUACCUAUCACAAGGUAUUCAUGGCUGAGACCCUCCAGAGCAAAAGACAGAGUAACAAGAGAAAAACAACACAUUUAUUUAAUAGAGGUUUUAUCUGACAUGAAGCCUUCAGAAAUGAAGACCCAAAGAAACAGAGACGUGCACUUUUAUGGACAGGCAUGCAGAAGUAUGAUUGGAGGGUGAAAUGGCAUGAUCUGAUCAGGACAAACUGGGGGGAUCUCAAGGAGACAUGAUUGCCCAGGUUCGUCUUCAUGUUACUGAGUGACAUUCCUUCCGUCCUGGUACAGGGCAGGACUCCUGUCACAUGAGGUCUUCAGGGAAGAAGUGAGGGAGGAAGUCAGAGAGUGACCUCCCCUGGUGUCAUGGCCUGCUUCAGGAAAGAGGUAGGGGAGGGAAUUCUCGUUUCCGUGGCCUGCUUCAGAAGACAGAAGACAGGAGAAGGUCACAGAGACCCUCCUGCUUCUGCGGCAUUUUCAAUAUUCUUGAGCUUAAAAUGGUACACAAAGGUGCUAUAUUUUGGGGUAUCAUGCGCUGAGCCUAAAAAAUAUUCUAUUUUAAAUAAUUGGAGACCUCCAUGAAGGCACAAUUAUGACAAAGGAACUUAUGCCUCUGUAUCAUUUUUUUUUAGCAGAUGUUUGAAGUUUCGCUUGUCUGUUUUCCUGUUUGCCAUUUUUGUACCUUGUUCUCUCACCUAAAAAUAGACUAAUAAAUGGGCAGAGUUGUUGCAGGAAGUGCACAGCAAUAAAAACAUCUAAUCAUUGCUUUAAAUGCAUCAAUCUUCAAUUGCUUUUAAAUGUCUAAAAGAAUGAAAUCUCCCCAACUAUCUGAGAAGUUUUGUUAUUUUUAACUUAUUUGGUUUUUAUAUAUGAACCCGAAGGAACUACCUUUUCCUAAUUGAAUUAGCAUGGCUAGAAAUUCAACUCAGCACACAUUUGACUGAGGAGUAUCAGGGCUCGGAACACCCUACCCCACAAUACAGCACCUCGGAGGUCACUCUCUCACCUUCUCCCUCCCUCCUUUUCUCCACCUUCCUUUCUCCCUCAGGAAGGUUCAUAAAAAACAAAAUUUGUCCUUGCCAAAGCAGACCAUGAAAGCUAGAAAGGUCACUUUCUGACCUUCUCCUUUCUGCCCUGCAGACCCUCAAGUGAUGGGUGACCUGCUCUGCACAGAAGGGCCAAGAAGAAGCUAAACAAACAGGCCUUGCAGAGUCCCCCAGUUUAGUGCAUUAGUCAUACCCCCUUUUCGUCCAGUCACAUUUCUGUACAACAUACAUUGUUCCUGGAACUUCUACUCAAAAAAUUACGUAGUUUGUCCUGGAUCUUUGGGUCUUCAUUUCAGAAGGCACCUUGCUGUAUCACAGAAAACUUUUGUUAUACACAUUUGUUAUGCUUUGUCCUUGUGAAUCCACCUUCUCUUACAGAAGUCUCAGCCAUGACUCUUGUAGUUGGUGAGGAAAAGGUAUUAUUUUUUCCUCCCCUACAAGAGUAAUGGAUUUUACAACUUUGACUGUUAUACUUUCUAAAAAAAAUGGGUAUAGCAGGGAAGCGGGGGUGGGGGAGGGGAGAGAAGGAAGACACACAAAAAGACCAGUUUUUAUAUAGAUCUUUUUUAUUUUAACGAAUUUACAUCAUCCAUAAAGGGAAACAAAUAUUAAAGUUAUUAGUUUUCCUAGGAGGAUCACUGAAGAAAACAUUCUUGUAACAAGGGAAGAAAUAAUUCCACAACCUAUGUAUCUGUGCAGUUGUGUAUUUCAUUUCUCUAAAAUUGAGUAAUUUAAAGUUCAAAGGCCUCUUCUCGUAGUUUUCACCAAAUGGAUUUUAUAUAUACUGAAGACAGAUAAAAAUGGUGCAGAAAAACAGGAGUUUUAGAGUCUUGUUUUAAUUCUUCAGAAAUGAGCUGUCUGGCAGAACAUGCCAACUUGGUGGCCUAAGAGCAAAGUAAACUUGAGUCCCACUCGCCAUGUUGAAUUAUUCCUGUUUCUAUUUAGCGAGCGGUCUGGAGUCUUUGGUCUGCAAUGUGUGUAGUUAAAAUCAUUAUGGCUAUUAUUUUAUUAUAUAGAUUUUCUAGGAUUUGACAGGAUAAAGCCUUUGCUUUAAUAAGUUGAGAUUUAAUAUUGAAUGGUUUCUCUCAAAUUCCUGAUUGGUCAAUAUAUUGUUGCUAAUUUGUAAAUUUUUAUCAAAGGAUUACAUUGGAAAUGCUUUGCUGUAUGUCGUGGAAGAGAAAGCCAUGAUUAUUUUCCCUAAGCAAGUUACAGAGGCUCCGAGUGAGUAAUUACUCUGGCCUUGUAUUGGUACUGCCUUUAAAGAAUUUCCUUUUUGAGUAUAAGGGAAGAUGGUUUAAAAACCUGAUGAAUUCAGGUAGUUGCCUGAGAGAAUGAGUAAAGUCCGUUUUUUCCCUGGUUAAAAUUAAGCCUCACCAAACACAUCAAUACAGAUGCAGAUAAGGUGAGGCCCCUUCCUGUAAAUCAGCUGUCAAGGCCUAUCAGGGAGAAAAACAGUGGACAAGGAGGCAAACUGCUUCCAUGAAGGCUGUGCACUUCUUGUUUGCAAGAAGAAUAUUUAUGGCCUUCACAGCUGGCAGCAAAGAACAUUUAAAUAUAUAACUUCAUAUACAUGCAAAGCAUUCUGUAGAUUAAAUCAGCUCAAAGUGUAGAACCUGAGAGGGUUAAAAGAAUUUCUUGGUAACCAUUUAAUAAAAUUAAUGUGCCAUUGGUCUGAUGUCUUAUACAAUUGCCUAAUAUAUGUUUUCAGUUUUCACUCACAGGCAAGCCUCAGAAAAAGUUAACAAUAUUAAGAUUGCCAAUUUUCUAAGAAUGGGAAUACAAUAAAAUUUAAGUAAUCAAAAUAUGGCAUCUUUGAUUCAGGAUCUGUUAGCAUAGCAAUAACAGGUACACUUACAAUGUCUUUUAUAUUCCUCAAUUUUUUUAUUGCUUCCUUUAACGUCCAAAAUUAAAAAACUGCAAGAAAAGUACGGCAGGUGUCAAAGCAGCUGAAGCCCUGAGUGAAGCUGUGAAUGCAAGGAGCCCCACAGAGGGAACGUGGACGCUCCAAGCAAAACCCACAUCCACCCCCUCCCCACAGAGGGAACGUGGACGCUCCGAGCAAAACCCACAUCCACCCCCUCCCCACAGAGGGAACGUGGAAGCUCCGAGCAAAACCCACAUCCACCCCCUCCCCACAGAGGGAACGUGGACGCUCCGAGCAAAACCCACAUCCACCCCCUCCCCACAGAGGGAACGUGGACGCUCCGAGCAAAACCCACAUCCACCCCCUCCCCACAGAGGGAACGUGGAAGCUCCGAGCAAAACCCACAUCCAUCCCCCUCCCCACCUGCCGCCCAUUAUUGGCACCUAUUUCCUUCGCAUUGUGGAGAUGCAGAGGUGCUGGCAGAAAGUCCUGGGUGCUUAACUGUUGGAUAAAUCUCUUAUUGAAUCUCUUAAAGAUUUGCUCAUAGUAAUUGUUGGUGAAAUCACUUUAGAUCUCUGUUGCAAAGCUCUCUAAAGUUCCUCUUAUAUUGGUUCAUAGGUUAUGACUUGUCACACUGACAUACUGCUGUGGGAGUCUGCACAGAGGGGUAUUUCUGUAUCUGCCAGGGUCUGGGUAUUUCUGUAUCUGCCAGGGUCUGGCUAUUUCUGUAUCUGCCAGGGUCUGGGUAUUUCUGUUUCCAUUAGGGUCUGGGUAUUUCUGUAUCCUCCAGGGUCUGGGUAUUUCUGUAUCUGCCAGGGUCUGAGUAUUUCUGUAUCUGCCAGGGUCUGGGUAUUUCUGUUUAUGUUAGGAUCUGGGUAUUUCUGUAUCCGCCAGGGUCUGGGUAUUUCUGUAUCUGCCAGGGUCUGGAUAUUUCUGCAUCUGCCAGGGUCUGGAUAUUUCUGUAUCUGCCAGGGUCUGGAUAUUUCUGUAUCUGCUAGGGCCUGGGUAUUCUGUAUCUGCUAGGGUCUCAGUAUUUCUGUAUGUGCUAAGGUUUCAGUAUUUCUGUAUCUGCUAGGGUCUUGACUUUCUGUAUCAGCUGUGAUACUGGUUUUAUGCGACAGAACCCUUCUCUGUCUUGCUUGACCACAUUGGUUGGAAAGAAGCUGGGGUACUCAGUGGAUUGAGGAGGUGGCUCAAAAGUUUGGUAGGUAUUUCAAGAUUUAGAAGGUGGGGCUGGGCAUGUUGGCUCACGCCUGUAAUCCCAGCACUUUGGGAGGCCGAGGCAGGUGGGUCAUGAGGACAGAAGAUCAAGACCAUCCUGGCCAACAUAGUGAAACCCCGUCUCUACUAAAAAUACAAAAAUUAGCUGGGUGUAAUGGUGUGUGCUUGUAAUCCCAGCUGCUCGGGAGGCUGAGGCAAGAGAAUCACUUGAACACGGAAGGUGGAGAUUGCAGUGAACCGAGAUUAUGCCACUGUACUCCAGCCCAGUGACAGAAUGAGACUCCAUCUCAAAAAUCAAAGGCGGCGGGAUUCAGGUAGCCCAAGAGGAUCUUGGGAACGAACUCCAUUUUUCUCCCUUGUACCAACUUUCACGAGACUCAGGAUUAUAGGAGUGAAGGAGAAAGACAGGCAAAGCUCCAGUCGUGUCAUUAUAUUGGGAAGUGAGAGGGCAGCGCUGGCUGAACCUCUUGAGAACCCCUGUGUCCUCUGUGGUGGGGGAGAGGAGAAGUGUCUUUGUUUACUCCCUCAAUACUUUAUACAACAGGAGGAAGGAGAUGCCUGAAAAGGCAACGGGGAGGUGUUUAGGAAGAAACAGUUGGAGCUAGGCAUGCAAGAAAGGCUGCAAGUCCCCGUAACAUCUAAGUUGUACUGGAAGCAGAAUUUCAUGUUAAUGUGCCAUGUCAAGGUGGCCACAGAGCCGUCUUUAUAAACUGGGAGUGUCCACGUAUUCCGGACUCAAAGAGCAAAGAUCCAGGACUAGCGCAGGAAGUCACUCCAUAUAAAUGGAAAAGCUUGUUUGUCUGCUUUGAGGUACAUUUCUCAACCUUCAUCAAUAAAGCAAAGCUGUAAACCCUAGAGUAAGACACACAAAGCACGUGCUGCGAUGAAGAGAGCCACUUUGGGGAAGUGUCAUCGCAUCCCAGGCUGCAAGGCAUUUCUCUCUGCUGCUUGUGCAGACUGGCUGGUGUGAGCUUCAGAGCUGGUCUCCUCUCGAAUCAGGCCCUGCAGAGGCCUCUAUGCCUUUUUGCCUGGGUUAGAUUUUGCUUGGAAAUUAAUGUGAAAUCGUUGACUCUUGGUACUCUCAGCAGAUCAGUGAUUAACAGGAAAUUUGGGGCCCAUGUUUGUCCUGUUUAUCCCAAGUCUAUGUCGUAAGUAAAAACAGGCUUAAACACAUCCAGAAUCUACUCAGUACACGGUGGAAAAAGCCUGGGCCCCAGCCCACUCCAGGGCCCCGCACCUGUGACAUCCGCAGGCCCUGAAGGUGGGCCCUGGGCUUUAGCUGUCCGCCUGCAUUCUUGUUUAGGACCGUGCCUCCUGGGGGGCAUGUGCUCAACUGGGAUUUGUUGAGCACGUCAUCAAAUUACUACAUGCAUAAACAUCACUUACCUGGGUCUUGGUUUCCCCCAUUUGUAAAACCAGAGAGUUGGGCUAGAAAAGUUUCGAGUCCCUCUAGCACAGUGAGUGACGUGUAACACCAUCAGCAGUGCUGAGCUUUGAAGAGAAUGCAAGCCUUAGGUUGUCACUGGUAUAUUUCAGAACACCUUGUUACUAUUUGUAAGAGUGUUGGAGAACAUGUGGGCAAAAUGCAUCUAUUUUUCUUCCCUAAAAAGUAAACUUGUCUCCUUUACAACCAAACAAAAGAGGAUGGCGUUGCAUAGUGGACACUGAGCCACAGGCUGGGUACAACUGAGCGGUGGGGUAACCCAGGUUUAAACUCAAAACCACGCUUGUGCAACGAGCAAAAGGUUCACAUUUACAGAGCAUCGAUGCUGUGGCGCAGCAGGCUACUUUCAUGUCGUUAUUUCAUUCAAUCCUUAAAACUUCAAUGUCGUAUGUGUGUGUUAUUUAAUAAGUAAGGAACUAUAGACUCAGAGAGAUUACUUAAUUUGCCUAAGGUCACAGAGGUAAUAAACAGAUAAAGCCAAGAUUUGAAUAUAGGUCUGAAUAAAUUGUUAUGCUCUCAUUCCUACCUAUUUAAUGUUACAAAAUUGUUUCAUUUCAAAUACUUUUACCUUUCUGCUUCAUUUUCUUUUAUAUUUUUUACUCUACAUGAUCAUUAUUUUGAGGCCUUCCAUUGCUUUUUCUCCUUCUUUGCUUCCUGCACUCUUUCCUUUCUAAUAUGUCCUUUGAUGCAUCUAUUUUCUCUACGGAGCCAAGGAACUUUCCAUCCUCUCAGUUUUAUGGGAAGACACAGAACUCCUCUACUCACUGAAUCCCAGUGACAGUCUAAUUAUUUCUAAAUCUCACCAUCCAGUAAUUACCUUUUCAAGCUCUUCUCCCUCUAAACUGUGUGGUGUGGUCCCUGUUGACAUUUUAUUGUCCUUACCCAUGCUGCUUGAAUAGAAAUAUUUAUAUUUCAAAAUUUCUGACUGCCAGUUAUCCAUAGUUUGAGGCUUCAUGUCCAUAAUAUCAUAAUUUGACAUGAAAAAUAUUCUUUAAAAUUAUUUUAUUAUAGCCACAGAGUAGCGCUGGAAAAAUAACUCGAGGAUAAACAAAUACAGACUUAUUCAUUCCGUAUGUGCUUGAUGACCGCCCAUGUGCCAGGCCUUAGUCUAGGUGCUCAUACGUAGCACCUAGCAUCCUGUUAAUCCUAGGAGUUUAAUGAUAGGCAAACACAUGUAAAACCAGAUUGAGGACAGAUGUUCUUUCUGCCUAUUUGUCCAUCCAUCAAUCUUCAUGAGAAAAGGGACUCAAGAUUCUGAAAACCUCAAAAUGCUUCCUUUUGUUCUAAGCCCUUGCUUUCAUGUUUAAAUGAACUGUUUUGUAUGUAUUUUAGAAUAUUUAAUUUUCACUAAAGUAAACUUUCAGUCUCUACAAGUGUUGGCAUUUAAGCCCAAGAAUACUUUAGUUGGUUGGAAAAUCAUUUCUGGGGAAGACUUCAUUGUAGAGAGGAGACUUCUCUGCCUCUGAUUACUCCUACACCUCUGCUGAUACUGACUACAUAUACUAGAUGUUUGUUGUGGGCAAGUUUCAUAUAUUAUUUUAUUGUUCUCCUAAAACUGAUCUAUAAAGUAUGUGCUAUUAUGUUUUGUUUCAUUUCCUGUCCAAAGAAUAUUCUUUUAACCAAAGAAUUGGGUAGAAAUGCCUUUAGACUUACAUAGUAAUUGUUAGGAGAAUGAUCUAUAGCUGUUCCGAGUUUGCAGAACCUCGAGUGAAUCUUUUACCAAUUACUAAAUGUUAACUGAACAUUUGUGAACAUGUGUAAUAUACUCCCUCUAGGACAGUAUAAAACCUCAAGAAACCUAGGAAAACGGCCAAAUUCUUGCUCUGGACUGCAGCUCUCACCAAUAAUUGACAUAUACUGGUUAUUUAAGACCUCACAGCUGCUCUGGUCUGAAUGCUAUUUGAGAUAUAAAAUUGUGGGCUACAUAUGCAAUCCGCCUUGGCUCCCACAAAAUUAAGAAGUUUAAUUAUUAAUGUACACGAGUAUAUUGAGAAAAUGAUAUAUUUCCACUAAAUAUGAUAGCCUUGCUCUGUUACCUACAGUUUUGGAUAUAGGGAUACAGCAUGUUAAUGUAAUUUACAGUAAGCCUUCUUACUGCAGAUUAAUCUGAGUGCUUCACAUUGAAACAGGAUUCCUUUUAAUGUAUAUAUUAAAUUUCAACUAUAUUGAUUCAUUUUAAACUUUCCAAGGAAGAUUUUAAAAAGCUUAGACGGUAGCUAUUCAGAUUUAUAAUUCCACUAAACUCUGCCGUAUGAUCCUGAAAAUGUUUAAGAACAUCACAUAUAACUUAAAUUAUUUAAAAGUCUACUUUAUACUUCUUGAAAACUAAGAACUCCUUGAAUUUAUUUUACAAAAGACUUAUCUUCUCCAGAAUAAAUUUAACUUGCCUCAUGCAAUUAGCAUUCAGAAAGGCUCAAAUUAACUGGAACAUAGCUAAAUAGAACCUUUAAUUAACUAGGUUUUUUUUCUUUUUGCUCUACUUUGAGAGCUUGAAAUCACUGGAAAACAAACAAGAUAGCAAAGAUUUGUUUUAAAAAUCAGCCUUCAAGGUUAGUUCUAGGGUCAAUAAAUAGCUAGCUAUGUGUUCACAUUACAAACCUACAUAGUUAUGAUUUAUUUAAAAUGAUGAAUCAGAGAUAUCAGUGUUUUCUGAUGCAUGAAAGAAAUACUACAGAAAUAUUAAAUAUGUUAUUUGCUAGGGUGAAAAACUAAGCCAAUAGAUAUUGAGAAUAUCUUCAGCAAUGAAAGAUUGAAGCAGAAUUGAUUUCCUAGUUAUUACUCUGAAAACCAAGAAAUUAAAUGAACCCAGACUCAUUUUUACUGGAACAUUGUAAUUAAUCAAAUGGAUUAACAAAUGCAUGAGUGAGAGAUGAAAAAUACUUCUGGGAGAAAAAUAGGGGUGAUACUUUUGAUGAGAGAAACUGCUCAUUUAAAAUAAUUUUAAGGGAAACUACACACUUAUUGAAUGCGGCGUAUAGAGUCCCGCCCUUCCAGUCUUUACCAACUAAUCUCCCCUCAGCCCUGUGGUCACCCAUCUCUUUUCCAGAAAUCUUCUAAAAACAAGUCUUUGAGAGCUUUGCAACCAACCCCACUCUUCUCCAGUCACUCUUUAUUGUAGCAUUUAUGGAUAAAGCCUGGCAACACCGACGUGCCGGGUACUACCCUUCCUGACACAGAAACCCUGCCAGCCAUAGACCUCGGUCUUUUGCUAUCACUUCUUCCUUUCUCUGUGCUUCAGAAUUUGCAACUUCAGAUACUCCAUUAUUCCAUGUUCAUUUCAGGAGAGGUUUACCAAAUACACAGAAGAAGUCUCUAAACUAGAAUGCUGAGUUCCAAUUCCCCUAUUUCAACUAGUUCCUGACCUUCCCACUUCCAGAAACAGUUUGAGGGAACUUAAAAGGCACAGCUACAAUAAAAGGUAAACAGCAAAGAAAGCAGAGUGGACAAAGAGAAUUCUAUCAGAGGAGUCAUGCUAAGAAAAGCAACCUGUACCCAGCCGAACCAAGAUACCAGAGCCGUUCAUGACAGGAAACUGGACAAGCUCCACUGUGCACGUUUGAUUAAAGGUAGUCAGUCCGUGCCUCAGGAAAGCCAAGCAUUUCUCUUGACUGAACUCAAGGGGUGCUUCCUCUGUGCUUCUUUGUCUCAGGGUUUGUCCAUGAUAGGCAUGGAUAAAUAUAUGUUGCAUGGUAAAUAAUAAAUAUAAGUGAUGCUUAGCUGAUAACCAGGGUCCACAGGGGGAAAGACUGGGCAAUAAGUCUCAUCUCCUUGUCCUGCUUCCACUGUGAAGUUACCUUUGCCAGUGGCUCACUACCAAAUGUGCUAUUGUCCCUGACAAGUGUCACCCGAAUGCUCCCCAGUCCUCUAGCCCACUGACCUUGGCACCCAAUUAAAACAGCCUGAGGGCCGGGUGCCGUGGCUCGUGCCUCUAAUCCCAGCACUUUGGGAGGUGGAGGCGGGCGGAUCACCAGAUGUCGGGAGUUCAAGACCAGCUUGGCCAACAUGGAGAAACCCCAUCUAUACUAAAAAUACAAAACUAACUGGAUGUAGUGGUGCACACCUGUAAUCCAGCUACUCGGGAGGCUGAGACAGGAGAAUCACUUCAACCCAGGAGGUGGAGGUUGAGGUGAGCUACAUCGCACCAUUGCACUCCAGCCUUGGCAACAGAGCAAGACUCCAUCUCAAAUUAAAAAAGAAAAACAGCUGGAACUCAUCCUUCCUGAGAAGCCUCAGGACCCUACCUUGUGUUCUGUUAUUUGGGGUUUUGUUUUAUUCCAAUUUUGACUUGACUCUAAACUCUUGCUGUGGAACCUUCUUGGAUAGCUCUCCAUCCCUGUUGCCAUUUCUGCCUCCACAGUUCUGGGAACAGAUGUGAGAAUUCUUGGACAUCACUGUGGCAAGCACAGUGGUCUUCGUUCCCUGCACCCUGGCUUCCUGCAGGGAUGUGCUGGCUUCUCCUCCAGGGUCCCUACCUCGGAGCCCGCUUCAGCCUCCUCUUCAUUAUGCAGGGCUAGGGGACUCUCCUCUCUCCCCUCCCAGACUAUUCAAAAGGCCCGCCAUCUUUGCCUUAUUAAAAUGCACAUUGAGGUAUUUUCCAAACAGAAAGAACUAUCCACAAGAGAAAUGCAGUUCUCCUCCAACAACUGGCCCAAAUCGGAUUGAGAUUUUAAAAUAAUAUUUUCUCCCUGUGACACAGGCACACCUUGAUGAACCAGGUGGCAACCCUCUAGGGUCCUGGGAACAUCUCCUAGUCAGAACAGGCCCAGUUUAGUGCAGCAAGAGAAGAGGGUUCUCUAAGGAGCCCUCGUCCUAGAAGGCAGCGACGUAGAGGGAAAGAACCUGGUCUGGAGCCAGGCCGACGUUGGUUUAAUUCUUUUCUGUAUAACCCAUUACUUUGCUGUUGGCUGUCGGACAGUUCUCAGAACUUUCAGAGCCUCACUAUUCUCAUCAAUAAAAUGGAGAGAAUAAAGCUUAGCUUCGUAUUGCAGGCGCCGUUUACCCUUCAAGGUGACUUUUCUUAUUCUAGACCCUUUGCUGGCUCUCUCAAUACAAUGAGGUUUGUUUCAAAGGGUUUUCAGGCACCUUUGAACAGGCGACAGAGAUAUCUUUGCACCUGGCCUUGGUGAAUGGGAUAGGAUACCAGGGUGUACGCCACCCAGAAAGGCAAAUGGGCUUUCAAGUUGGACAGUCCUGGUUUUAAAUCCUGCUUUUUUUCCCCUAUUAGUGGAGUGACCAUCAGCCUUUUUGACCUCAGUUUUGUCUCUUUAAAACGGAACAAGACCUACCUAAGAGACAUAAUUACAUCUUUUAGAUUGUUGUGAGGACAGCCCUUCCCCUGGUGGUGCUUCCCCUGGUGCUGGGUAGACCCAGAGCCAUGGCAGGCCAGCCACUGCAGCACAGUGGUGAGAUGUGGGGUCGGCAGUCAUUCCCCCUUGGGUGUGGCUCUCCCCUGAGGAACAAAAGAUGGGGACUCUUUGUCUGACUGCCUGGAGAGGACCCCUUGCUGUGGCAUCAGCCGUUUCUUCCAGCCCCACCCCAUGCAGGUGAGAGCCCUACUCACAGCCUAGGGCACAACCCGGGCUGGCAGAGCAUGGCCUCCUCCCUGGCUCAUCACCUGCUUCCUGCUACAGGAAUACGCAACUCCUUCGCCACGCACACACACAGGGUCUGCCAGGGGGUGCCCUGUUUCUCCUGUAGAUGGGGAAUUCUUUGGGGUUUUUACACAAUCACAAACCAACGCUGAAUCCUACCAAAGAAGAACACAGGCUCUUUGAACUCUGAGCUAGAACCCAAAACCAAAUUCCCCUGAGACCUGUUCUAGGACUGCUGACACAGGACGGCAUUCCAGAGAGGUCCUAAGUGACACUGGCAGGUACCUUUAAUUACUCCUCGUUACAUCACACUUGUCCUCACACAGAAGCACGAUGACAUGCGUAUCGUCUGCUCAGUGAGGCUUCUGUGCUGCUGGUGACAAUGCCUUCAAGGGUCAUUAUGGACUGUAGAGGAAGAGAAUGGCAAAGAGUUGCGGGGGUUUGCCACUGAACAGCAGCAAAGGCAAAUCCCCAAAUAACUGCGGAUGCAUUUCAUUAUCAGUAAAAUGAAGGGGCUGGGCUAGGGUGGCUUCAAGAUCCCUCUGGCUCAGAACAUUCCUCGAUACUGUGAUUCCAUCUAUCUCACAUAGUCUUAAAGUCUUAGCACAUGUUUUCUGAGAUUAUUCCAGUAGAGUACCUUGUCUGCAAAAGGCGGAAAUUUAUUAUUUGGGAAUAAUAAAUCAGAGCAAAAAAGAUGUGGAGCCCAUGGUAUAUUAUUAGUUUUGAGUGUGCUAAUCCUUAUUUUAUGAGAUUUAAUUUUUGUAAUGUUUACCUUUCUAUUCAGACUAUUGUCAGGAAAAAAAAAGCAUGAUUUUUGUGUUCCGGGAAGAGAUAGGCAAGGGACUAAUGAAUGUGUGCUUUGCCCUUGCUCAGAUAAAUGCUAUAGUUAUAAAAAGUCAUGGCAGGUUAUGGGGGCCCUUUUGUUUACCAUGAUAAAAUUAAAACCUUACAAGUUUUCUAAGGAGUUUGUGAGAUGUUACAGAUUUAUUUUUAAUAUGAUUUCAGAGUUGGAAAGCUAGACAGUUGGAAAUAGUGCUUGGAAAGCCUAAUUCUUGAUAAAUUCAUUAUCAAUAAUACCACGUGCAGAAUAAAAUUACAAUUUCAGCAAAGCAUAUUCUUCCAUAACAUUUAUUACUGUGAAACUAAUUAAACAUUGUAAUUUGCAAGUAAUUAAAAAUUUACCUGAAAGUAUACUAUGAGCCCUCUUGACAGUACAUGGAGCAUUUUGUGCAGUUAUUUAAUGUCCACUAUUUUUUCUUGAUUGCUCUAUUUGGAAAUUGCUCUAGUCUAUAUGGUUUUAUAAAAAGGAGGCAAAUUACAGACUAAUUGAACUAGAAUAUUCAAUAAAAGAUGAUCUGCCUCUAGGAGAUUGGGUGUCUUCUUUGAACGACCACUUAGAUGGAAUGGGGACGUUCCUGGGAGCCCCUUCUGGGUUUGGUGCCGUGGAAAUCCAGGUGACUGUCACUCUAUUCACUACUAUGUGUCCCUGCAUUUUUUUUUUUUUUUUUUUUUAAUAGAGUCUUGCUCUGUCACCCAGGCAGACUGGAUUAUAGUGGCACAAUCUCGGUUGCCUGUCACCUCUGCGUCCCAGGUUCAAGUAAUUUUCAUGCCUCAGCCUCCCGAGUAUCUGGGACUACAGGCACGCGCCACCACGCCCAGCUAAUUUUGUAUUUCUAGUAGAGAUGGGGUUUCACAAUGUUGGUCAGACUGAUCUCGAACUCCUGAUCUUUGAUCCACCCGCUUCGGCCUCCCAAAGUGCUGGGAUUACAGGUAUGAACCACCGCGCCCAGCCCCAUGUCCCUGCAUUUUUUAAGGACAUUUUCACAGACAUAUUUUUCACAUGCAGGGAAUGCAUACAAAGCAACUAGCACACUGCUUAAUGAUGAUGACGAGUUCACUGAAGAGAAUCAUUCUACUAGUAAUAUUCUUUUUUCUCUCUCUUUUUUUUUUUUUUUUUUUUUUUUGAGACAGAGUUUCGCUCUUGUUACCCAGGCUGGAGUGCAAUGGCGCGAUCUCGGCUCACCGCAACCUUCGCCUCCUGGGUUCAGGCAAUUCUCCUGCCUCAGCCUCCUGAGUAGCUGGGACUACAGGCACGCGCCACCAUGCCCAGCUAAUUUUUUGUAUUUUUAGUAGAGACGGGGUUUCACCAUGUUGACCGGGAUGGUCUCGAUCUCUCGACGUCGUGAUCCACCCAUCUCGGCCUCCCAAAGUGCUGGGAUUACAGGCUUGAGCCACCACGCCCGGCCUACUAGUAGUAGUCUUUGUGCAUGGAUUAUCACAAUACUCUUAACUUUUUUAACUGUUCACUUAGGGGGAUAUUCCAAUAAAACUUUUUAUUAUAACUCCUUGUCCACUUACCAGUGUGAUUUUCUGCUACCACAUGUACAUUUCUUCUUUUUAAAAUUUUUAUUUCCAUAGGUUUUCAGGGAACAGGUGGUGUCUGGUUCCAUGAGUAAGUUCUUCAGUGGUGAUUUGUGAGAUUUUGGUGCAUACCUCACCCAAGCAGUGUACACUGAACGCAGUUUAUAGUCUUUUAUCCCUGACCCCCUUCCUGUCCUUUCCCCCUGAGUCCCCAGAGUGCACUGUGUCAUUCUUAUGCCUUUGUGUCCUCAUAGCUUAGCUCCCACUUAUGAGUGAGAACAUAUACAUGUACACUUCUUCUGAAUGAGCUCUGGUUUAUCCACAUAUUAUUGGAAAUAAAGCCAUCACGACUGAUAUUUUACUUCCUGAGUGUUUCUUAUAGGGUAGAAAUUUCUGAUAUAAUAAAGGCCAAAGUUGUAACAUAUUUAUUACCUUCACUUCAGCCAGACUCACGAGAAUAGCUGCGUUGAUAGCUCUCUCUUGAACUGUAAUCUCUUCCUACCUCCCUCCUUCUCUUCUUUCUUUUCUUUCAUGCGUCAAAAAUUGACUGGGGCCUUUACAUGCCAGACACCGUUUUCAAUGCUGGGAUAUGACUAGGAACAAAAGUAAAGGCCUGUGGUAUUGUGGAAUGUUAAGUGUUGGGGAGUGGGAAAUGCUAUUUAUUUAAUCAAGGCAAAGUAUAAUUCCAAAAAACAUUAAUUGCUAUGAGAAAAUUAAAACGAGGUAAUGUGGGGGUGGUGACACUCUAGAUGGGAUGGUCAGAAAAGGCUUUGUAAACAUUGUAACUGUGGGCCUUUUAGGAAUUUCUUAAUAUUUAGCAUUUAAAGUGUGCAAUUGUACUUUCGUAUUUUAUUAAGUUUGAUAAAUAAUGUUUAUGUAAUCCACAUAUAUUUUAUUGAGGUAUAUUUUUGAGUGUGAUUACCAUUCCAAAUUGCAAAGAUCUGUUAGUUCUGGUAACAGGUGUUUCCCCAAGGUCUUACAAAAAUGUGAAGGGUCGAGGCUAUUCUGAGUACACAUAAAACUUUUAAAAUUGAAGAACAUUAUUUAGCACUAUACAAAUUACAGCAAUAAUUUAAGAUGUGCCAUAAUGCCUCUUCUAUGCCUCAGAGAAUUCGGAAAUCACUGGUAGCCUAUGCUAACAUAAAAAUACAUCAACUAUGAGUUACACCUUCUGAUAUAUAUGUUCCAAACACUAGCAAUCAUUUUAUUAAAAAUAAAAGAAAACAAGCACUUCCACUUAUCCUAAAGGCUACUUCUCAGUAGAAUAUUUCAAAUUAUUCCAAACACUAUAAGAUGUGUUUUAAGAUGACCACUUUUUUAGCUGAAUUAAUUUUGAUUCUAACAAUAACCAUACAAAAUGUGACAUUAUGUUUUCCAU